rnacentral:rRNA from 2 species
AGACCCGAAACCCGGUGAUCUAGCCAUGGGCAGGUUGAAGGUUGGGUAACACUAACUGGAGGACCGAACCGACUAAUGUUGAAAAAUUAGCGGAUGACCUGUGGCUGGGGGUGAAAGGCCAAUCAAACCGGGAGAUAGCUGGUUCUCCCCGAAAGCUAUUUAGGUAGCGCCUCGUGAAUUCAUCUCCGGGGGUAGAGCACUGUUUCGGCUAGGGGGCCAUCCCGGCUUACCAACCCGAUGCAAACUGCGAAUACCGGAGAAUGUUAUCACGGGAGACACACGGCGGGUGCUAACGUCCGUCGUGAAGAGGGAAACAACCCAGACCGCCAGCUAAGGUCCCAAAGUCAUGGUUAAGUGGGAAACGAUGUGGGAAGGCCCAGACAGCCAGGAUGUUGGCUUAGAAGCAGCCAUCAUUUAAAGAAAGCGUAAUAGCUCACUGGUCGAGUCGGCCUGCGCGGAAGAUGUAACGGGGCUAAACCAUGCACCGAAGCUGCGGCAGCGACACUGUGUGUUGUUGGGUAGGGGAGCGUUCUGUAAGCCUGUG